AUUGAACGCUGGCGGAAUGCUUUACACAUGCAAGUCGAACGGCAGCACGGGGGCAGCCCUGGUGGCGAGUGGCGAACGGGUGAGUAAUACAUCGGAACGUGCCCGGUCGUGGGGGAUAACGUAGCGAAAGUUACGCUAAUACCGCAUGCGAUCUGAGGAUGAAAGCGGGGGACCUUCGGGCCUCGCGCGAUCGGAGCGGCCGAUGUCAGAUUAGGUAGUUGGUGGGGUAAAGGCCUACCAAGCCGACGAUCUGUAGCUGGUCUGAGAGGACGACCAGCCACACUGGGACUGAGACACGGCCCAGACUCCUACGGGAGGCAGCAGUGGGGAAUUUUGGACAAUGGGCGCAAGCCUGAUCCAGCCAUUCCGCGUGCAGGACGAAGGCCUUCGGGUUGUAAACUGCUUUUGUACGGAACGAAAAGGCUCUGGCUAAUACCUGGGGCUCAUGACGGUACCGUAAGAAUAAGCACCGGCUAACUACGUG
rnacentral:rRNA from 1 species